GAAGUGCGAUAUGUAAUGUGAAUUGCAGAAUACAGCGAAUCAUCGAAUCCUUGAACGCAACCUGCGCCUGAGAGUAAUCUCUCAGGCACACCUGUUCGAGUGUCGAUUUAAAUCCAAUCUCAAAAAAAUUUUUUUUUGAGGUCAUGAAAGUCAAGCUUUUUUUUCUCAUGAACGAGAGGCUCGUCUUUUGAAAUCGAGACGACACUUGGUUGAAAUGGAAAUUACAUCGUCUGAGUAUGAUCAGUUGAGUUGCUCUGUCAACAAAUAAUACCAAUCAUGCAAGGUGUUUUUUUUUCAUCUUUUAAUCAGUUAAAGUCGAAUAAAAAAAAAGUAGGAAAACUUUUUAUUUUUUCUUGGGUUAUUCAACCCUUCGACCUCGAAUCAGGUGAGAUUACCCGCU
rnacentral:misc_RNA from 1 species